rnacentral:rRNA from 1 species
UACGUAGGGGGCAAGCGUUGUCCGGAUUUAUUGGGCGUAAAGGGUGCGUAGGUGGCGGGGUUAGUCAGGUGUGAAAUCUCGGAGCUCAACUCCGAAACUGCACUUGAUACUGCCUUGCUAGAGUACUGGAGAGGAGAUUGGAAUUUACGGUGUAGCAGUGAAAUGCGUAGAUAUCGUAAGGAAGACCAGUGGCGAAGGCGAAUCUCUGGACAGUUACUGACACUGAGGCACGAAGGCCAGGGGAGCAAACGGG